AUACGAAAGGUGCAAGCGUUGUUCGGAUUUACUGGGCGUAAAGAGAGUGUAGGUGGUUUAUUAAGUCGGAUGUGAAAUCCCGGGGCUCAACCUCGGAACUGCAUUCGAUACUGAUAGGCUAGAGUUUGGGAGGGGUAAGCGGAAUUCCGUGUGUAGCAGUGAAAUGCGUAGAUAUACGGAGGAACACCUGAGGCGAAGGCGGCUUACUGGACCAAUACUGACACUGAGACUCGAAAGCGUGGGUAGCAAACAGGAUUAGAAACCCGGGUAGUCC
rnacentral:rRNA from 1 species